rnacentral:rRNA from 1 species
AGUGAACGCUGGCGGUAGGCCUAACACAUGCAAGUCGAACGGCAGCACAGUAAGAGCUUGCUCUUACGGGUGGCGAGUGGCGGACGGGUGAGGAAUACAUCGGAAUCUACUUUUUCGUGGGGGAUAACGUAGGGAAACUUACGCUAAUACCGCAUACGACCUACGGGUGAAAGCAGGGGAUCUUCGGACCUUGCGCGAUUGAAUGAGCCGAUGUCGGAUUAGCUAGUUGGCGGGGUAAAGGCCCACCAAGGCGACGAUCCGUAGCUGGUCUGAGAGGAUGAUCCGCCACCCUGGAACUGAGACACGGUCCAGACUCCUACGGGAGGCAGCAGUGGGGAAUAUUGGACAAUGGGCGCAAGCCUGAUCCAGCCAUACCGCGUGGGUGAAGAAGGCCUUCGGGUUGUAAAGCCCUUUUGUUGGUAAAGAAAAGCAGCAGGUUAAUACCCCGCUGUUCUGACGGUACCCAAAGAAUAAGCACCGGCUAACUUCGUG